AGUGAACGCUGGCGGUAGGCCUAACACAUGCAAGUCGAACGGCAGCACAGUAAGAGCUUGCUCUUACGGGUGGCGAGUGGCGGACGGGUGAGGAAUACAUCGGAAUCUACUUUUUCGUGGGGGAUAACGUAGGGAAACUUACGCUAAUACCGCAUACGACCUACGGGUGAAAGCAGGGGAUCUUCGGACCUUGCGCGAUUGAAUGAGCCGAUGUCGGAUUAGCUAGUUGGCGGGGUAAAGGCCCACCAAGGCGACGAUCCGUAGCUGGUCUGAGAGGAUGAUCAGCCACACUGGAACUGAGCCACGGUCCAGACUCCUACGGGAGGCAGCAGUGGGGAAUAUUGGACAAUGGGCGCAAGCCUGAUCCAGCCAUACCGCGUGGAUGAAGAAGGCCUUCGGGUUGUAAAGCCCUUUUGUUGGGAAAGAAAAGCAGCAGGUUAAUACCCCGCUGUUCUGACGGUACCCAAAGAAUAAGCACCGGCUAACUUCGUG
rnacentral:rRNA from 1 species